UACGUAGGGGGCAAGCGUUGUCCGGAUUUAUUGGGCGUAAAGAGCGUGUAGGCGGCCAGGUAGGUCCGUUGUGAAAACUGGAGGCUUAACCUCCAGCUGUCGGCGGAAACCAUCUGGCUAGAGUCCGGAAGAGGAGAGUGGAAUUCCUGGUGUAGCGGUGAAAUGCGCAGAUAUCAGGAAGAACACCUAUGGCGAAGGCAGCUCUCUGGGACGGUACUGACGCUGAGACGCGAAAGCGUGGGGAGCGAACAGG
rnacentral:rRNA from 1 species